CUUAUCUAUUGAAUAAAUUACCAAAACUUUUUGGUAAUUUAUUCAGUGAUAAACUACCAAAUGAUUGAUUUGAAUGAUUGAGUGCAUGGACAAAGAGGAUCUGUUCCCUACCUGCUGUGGGAAGUUUCUUUUAGUUUCUCCAUGAAAGAGACAGUUGUAUCUGGAGAGAAUCCAUAGCUAAAAUAAUGAUGAGAUUUCAUUUUGGAGGUCAUGGUGGGUCUUUUCUUAGCCCAUCUUAAAAAAUAUUACAAACAUAAUGCUGUAUGGGCUUGAACUGAUACAGUUCCUUCCUUUGGAAGGGUUAUUUGUUGUUUGAUUAAUAUUAUACAUUGAAUGACCAAAUAAAUGCAGAAGUAUAUGUGAUAAAGCUAUCCUUUCAUUACCACUUAAUGAAAUUUUGCUAUGUACCAGCCUCAUGUGUACCCUGUAUUGUCAUCUUUCUUAUAUAAUCUAUGUAUGUACAUCUAGGUAUGGCUUACAUCCACUUAAAGAGAAACUCCAAUGUUUAGAGCUCAAGGAAGGUGUCUUGGGACAUACAUUGCCCUAGUGACAGAGCAGCUACCUCUACAGCAGCUGGGUAGAAUGCCUACUCCAAUAAAAAUAUAAGCUUACUCCCUCACAUACUCAACCUAAUUUUUCUCUGUCCUUUAAAUCCCUGAUUCUGGCUGAGAUGUAAUAGGCAUUAAAUGGUUAUGGUCCACUUACAUGCCUUGUCUCCAGAUACUCAGAAACCUCUAAAA
rnacentral:lncRNA from 1 species